UUCUCAGAGACUGAUUCUGAUUCUCUGUUAUUCUUCUGAAUUCAGAGUGGUUGAGAUAAUUAUUGUAAUUCGCAAAAACACAAAUUGUGACAUUUAGUUACCAAUCGUCUGGACAAAGCAAUUUUGAUUGCUGAAUUUCAAGUGAACAACAUCAAACAUGGACCAGCAAAAUGAACACCUCGUUUGUCACCUAUGUGGAAAACAAUUUUCCAGUGUGUCGAACAAAAAUCGGCACCU